GGUGCCGUUUGUCCCAUGUACAUUAUGUUGACAAAAAGUACAUUCUGUCUGCAAAAAUAACUUCAAUAUAGUUGAGGCACAAAAUACAUUUUACCAGGAUACAUAUAUAACUGUGGUCAGAUAUUUUGGUAGAAAAUAUACAAAAGCAGUAUGUUUAGUCAAAAAUGAGAACAAAAUCUGAUUUCUGUACAAAUAGGAUAUCAAAGUAUUGUAAACAAGCAUUUUGUCUUUCACACUGUAUUUUGUUUCUCAAAUGUAUAAAAUCCAUGUAACAAAACUAGUGAUGUGUAAAGGUAACUACAAGAUGAAUUAUGUAAAAAAAACUAGAACAAAAUAUAUAAUGUUGUAAGCGGCUAUCAUAUGUGAAUCCACACAAUUGAUAUCUCACUAUAAUUUACCAGUUUGAAGUGACAAAAUAGAUGCUUAUUACAGAAAGGAAUAUAACCUAUCACAGAAUCCAUAAUAUCAACAAAUUAACACAAGUUCAACAAAACCAAUAUCAACACAAUAGUUAAGUUAGACAAAACAGAUAAAACAGACAAAACAGAUAUUUUCAGAUUAUCUAUUCUGUGAAACAUUUCUGUCAGUCAAAUUAGUGAACCAAUGAGAUGCAAGCAUACUUCUUAACCAAUAACAAGCACUCUUUAACUGAAGUCCAUUUAUCUAUUAAUUCACCUUUCAAAUAGCAACAGUUAUUUGGCCAAUAAUAUUAGGUUUCACUUUUUUUUCUGAUCCUGCAGCUUCUUGCCAUGUUUCCACUCCCCUGAGGUUGCCAUUUUCUAGCACAUGCUCUCCAGAAUGGAUCCUAGGGGUAUUAAUGUGAAGCUAUUAGCUGACAGCAUUUUGAACCUUUCAAAAAUAGUUGAGAAUUGGUCCUCUACAAGCUCCAACACUGGGCUUCUUGCCAUGUUUCCACUCCCCUGAGGUUGCCAUUUUCUAGCACAUGCUCUCCAGAAUGGAUCCUAGGGGUAUUAAUGUGAAGCUAUUAGCUGACAGCAUUUUGAACCUUUCAAAAAUAGUUGAGAAUUGGUCCUCUACAAGCUCCAACACUGGGCCUCUAGGGUCACAUCAUUUAACAAAACAAGGACACCGCAAUUCUGCUACUGAACAGACAUUUCAACUUCCAACAAAACCCAAGCCAAGUUAAUUCUACUAUUAAUCAGAUGGAACCUAUUUUGAAAUCCUAGAUUGUAAACAACUUGCAGACGAAGAGGUUGCAUUUAUAAAAAAACUGAAACCCAGCCACAUCCUCGCAUUUG